rnacentral:rRNA from 1 species
UACGAAGGGGGCUAGCGUUGUUCGGAAUCACUGGGCGUAAAGCGCACGUAGGCGGAUUUUUAAGUCAGGGGUGAAAUCCCGGGGCUCAACCUCGGAACUGCCUUUGAUACUGGAGAUCUUGAGUCCGGAAGAGGUAAGUGGAACUGCGAGUGUAGAGGUGAAAUUCGUAGAUAUUCGCAAGAACACCAGUGGCGAAGGCGGCUCACUGGACCGGCAUUGACGCUGAGGUGCGAAAGCGUGGGGAGCAAACAGG